GACGAACGCUGGCGGCGUGCUUAACACAUGCAAGUCGAACGAGGUCCACUGCGGAGCAAUCCAAGGGAAGACCUAGUGGCGAACGGGUGCGUAACACGUGAGGAACUUGUCCCGGUCUCUGGGAUAACAGUUGGAAACGACUGCUAAUACCGGAUGACGUCGGAAUCUCGCAUGGGAUGCUGACGAAAGGGUUACCGGAUCGGGAGAGCCUCGCGGCCUAUCAGCUUGUUGGUGGGGUAACGGCCCACCAAGGCAUCGACGGGUAGCUGGUCUGAGAGGAUGAUCAGCCACACUGGGACAGAGACACGGCCCAGACUCCUACGGGAGGCAGCAGUGGGGAAUCUUGCGCAAUGGGCGAAAGCCUGACGCAGCAACGCCGCG
rnacentral:rRNA from 1 species